GACGAACGCUGGCGGCGUGCCUAAUACAUGCAAGUCGAGCGAAGUUUUUCUGGUGCUUGCACUAGAAAAACUUAGCGGCGAACGGGUGAGUAACACGUAAAGAACCUGCCUCAUAGACUGGGACAACUAUUGGAAACGAUAGCUAAUACCGGAUAACAGCAUUAACUGCAUGGUUGAUGUUUAAAAGUUGGUUUUGCUAACACUAUGAGAUGGCUUUGCGGUGCAUUAGCUAGUUGGUGGGGUAAAGGCCUACCAAGGCGACGAUGCAUAGCCGACCUGAGAGGGUGAUCGGCCACACUGGGACUGAGACACGGCCCAGACUCCUACGGGAGGCAGCAGUAGGGAAUCUUCCGCAAUGGGCGAAAGCCUGACGGAGCAACGCCGCGUGAGUGAAGAAGGAUCUCGGUUCGUAAAGCUCUGUUGUUAGGGAAGAAUGAUUGUGUAGUAACUAUACACAGUAGAGACGGUACCUAACCAGAAAGCCACGGCUAACUACGUG
rnacentral:rRNA from 1 species